rnacentral:rRNA from 1 species
AACGAACGCUGGCGGCAGGCCUAACACAUGCAAGUCGAGCGAGGACUUCGGUUCUAGCGGCGGACGGGUGAGUAACGCGUGGGAAUGUGCCCUUCUCUACGGAAUAGCCCUGGGAAACUGGGAGUAAUACCGUAUACGCCCUAUUGGGGAAAGAUUUAUCGGAGAAGGAUCAGCCCGCGUUGGAUUAGGUAGUUGGUGGGGUAAUGGCCUACCAAGCCGACGAUCCAUAGCUGGUUUGAGAGGAUGAUCAGCCACACUGGGACUGAGACACGGCCCAGACUCCUACGGGAGGCAGCAGUGGGGAAUCUUAAACAAUGGGGCAACCCUGAUCUAGCCAUGCCGCGUGAGUGAUGAAGGCCUUAGGGUUGUAAAGCUCUUUCAGCUGGGAAGAUAAUGACGGUACCAGCAGAAGAAGCCCCGGCUAACUCCGUG